GAUUAACUGAAGGCAUUCGGAAGUUGUUUGUGAAACUAUUAACUGAAAAAGCCAGAAAUGUUACUUAUAAUAACAUUUAUAGUGCAAAAACUGCAAUUAUAAAAGACAUCAGAAAACGUUCACUGAACCUGAGAGUAACUGAAGCAGUAUGAAAUAAAGCAAUAUAAAUUAAAUAGUAAAUUUAGAUGUCACAGUGGUGCAAAGUACUGCUUUAAAUUUUCUUAAAUAACACAAAAUAUAAACACACUGAUAUUUAAAUAAAAACUUCAAGCAUAGGUAACUUUUGCAAACAUAGAAAACACAAAGUACUUAAAAUGAAGCGCAAAAUCAACAAUAAACUUGAGAAUUGGACUGAAUACAAGCCGUAAACAAGAUUAGUGCAGAUUAGUGGCACACUACAAUUUUGCCACCUAUGAUGUUACGGAUUUCAAGUUCCAUAGCUUUCUUCUCUGUAAACAAAGAUUAACAAUUGCAACAUCUGUGCGUAUGUGCGCACUAAAUCAAACAGUGAGCAGCAUUUAGUUUAUGAUAGGUUUAUGGCCAGGAAAACAAGCCUGUCCACAUUCUCUGGCUUCAGUGCCACCCGGUGGCAUGUAACAACAUUACCACCAGUACUAAAUGCCCUUUCAGACGGGGCACUGGUGGCUGGGAUGCAGAAGUACUUGCGAGCCAGGCUUGCCACCCUUGGAAAAAUGGCCUGAUGCAGCUUCCACCACUCUAGUGGGUCUUCCUCUCCAUCCACAGCUAUUGCCUGCAAGUAACUUUGUACUUCUAAAUCAAUGGUCUCUCUGUCAGCCAAAGCAGCUGGGCCAGGAAUGGAUGGCUUUUUGAAAAAGCUGCCCAGAGUGCGCUUAACUUUCCUAGGUUGUCCAACUUCUUCAUCUGCACAGGCAGCAUGUGGAGGUGAAUCGGUGGAGGAUGCUGCUGGAUUUUCUCUUUCCAAAAGGGCUUGGAUUGCAGCCACUGCCUUAGUCUUUAUGUAAGUCUUUUCGGUUGUCAGCAAUGUAUGACAUCUUGAAUCGUGGAUCCACAAAGGACGCAAUAUCUAACAGGUCCUCCGUGCCACGGUCAGAGUACUUCUCAUUUAAGUAGUGGAGGAUGGUCUUCUUCAUAUUCUUGGUCAGUUCUGUGUCAUUCUCGUCAGCAGACAGAACACUGUUAUUCAAAAGAUGAAGCACAGGUUUGAGGUAGGACACGCUGAUGUAUUCUUCACUAGACAGGGCAUCAGUGAAUUCAACCAGAGGACUCAGGGCCUUAUUCACUGACUCCAAGACAUCUAGGUCCUGCCAAGUAGGUACCAGAUGCCUGGUUUUUUUCUCUGCUUUUAGGACCUGAGAUAUUGCCUUCUCCUGCUCCAGCACUCGUUCUAUCAUCUGUUGCCGUGAACCCCAUCUUGUCGGUGUCUCUGUGAUGAGGCGGUGAGGAGGCAGAUGGAGUUCAGCCUGGGCUUUGGCCAUUGCUUUCUUUCUUUUACGAGUGUACGAAAAUGCACUUACAAUUUUCUUGCAGACCCCAACUGCCCGCUCAAUCCGGGGCUCUUUGACACUCGACUCUGUUGAAAAAGUAGACAAAAAUAAAUUAUUAGACCAGCAGCCCUAAUGACAAAACACUUGUAAAUUCUACAGCAGGCCUACACCAAGACAUGGAUCUAAUUAAAAGCAUAGUAUAACACCAGAGCAAACAAAAUAUUAAGGAGAUGACAGUAACAUCAUACAGUUGUGCUCAUAAGUUUACAUACCCUGGUGGAAUUUUUAAAUUUUUGGCCAGCUUUCAGAGAAUAUAAAUAAUAACUCAAAACUUUCUUUUCACUCAUGGUUAGUGAUUUUGUGAAGCCAUUUAUUGUCAAACAAUUGUGUUUACUCUUUUCAAAUCAUAAUGACAACAGAAACUACCCAAAACCCAAUCAGGAAUUCUGCCAGGGUAUGUAAACUUAUGAGCGCAACUGUACCUGUGUUAUCAAAUCUACAGGAGAGAAUUACCCCAGAGGAAAAAAAAGACAGCUUUACCAUAGGUAGCAGGCAGUAGCUUGCUAUUAAUCUAUGAAAAAUAUAAACUUACCAAUAGCAAGUUGAAGCCUAUGUCUGAAGCACUGAAGUCGUGUCCAAUCAUUGAGCCCCACUGCUUUGACAACAUUGGCACCGUUGUCAGUGGUGAUGCAGACUUGUAACUUUUCGUCAAGUCCCCAUGCGUCCAGCGCCUCUCUCAGUCCCUUGGCAAUCAACUCCCCCGUAUGAUCGUCCGGGAAAUACGAAGUUUGCAGGCAUUAGCUGCGCAACUUCCACUCAUCGUCAAUAUAAUGAAUUGUAAGGCUAAGAUAAGGGUCCAUUGUGCGACUCGACCAUAAGUCUGUGGUGGUUGCGUAGUGUUUCAUAGCGUGGAGCUCCGUUUCUACUUUUUCACGGACCUCCGCAUGUAGUUUUGGUAUUUCAACAUCACUGAAAUAUUUGCGGCCUGGUACCACGUAUCGUGAAUCAAAAGUCUUGGCCAUGCCUAAAAAGCCGCUUCCCUCUACGGCCCAGAAAGGCAACAUGUCUUUGCACAAAAAAAUGAGAGGCAUCUGGCUGCAGACCUCCACUGUGAGGUCGCUUCCGGUGCAGACCUCCACUGUCAGGACGCCUCCACCAUAGAUAUAUACAAACGCUAGAUGUCUCGAGACGGAGUCGGCGGCGUCGUCACUUGGCGGCCAUCUUAGGACAGGGGACUGCUCUGGCGCACUGUACUGUAGUCAAUGGUAAGGUGGAUGAUUUCCUCACUUUAACACUCAUAACUCGCUCAAUUCUUGAUUGAUUUACAAACGGUUUAGUUUAUUACAAAUCUUAUUAACGUGGCUAUGAUUCAGGCUCAAUUCCGAAAUCGCAGCUUUUCGUUUUCAAAAAUGCGGCAUAGUUGUGUGUCUUUUCUGCCUGGCUACUCACAUUGAAGAUGGUGUUACUCACAAUCUCAUUUUCAGUUAUUAGGUUUUCCUGAGACCAACGUUUUUUGAGAACCGAAUCUUUAGGCGAAAUUACAUUCUUUGUGGUUGUGGUUGUAUUUAUUUGCUUGUUAAGAGACUCUGAUUGAGACCUUAGACUUAUUGUUUGUAUACAUCUAUGCCUGGAUUAGUUAGCCUGCAGCCGAAAUGCAUUGUGGGUAAUGUAGGCACCAGGUUCAUGAAAAGAAAAGACAACAUCUCUGUUUGUUGUGCAUUGAUUUUGGUUGAGCUUUGUUUUUAUCUGUGCUUUAGAAAGCUGAUAGUAAUAAAAAAAGUGCAAUGCUAAAUAAUAAAAUUACAUUUACAUCCAUUAAUGCGGAUAAAGCUGAUAUCUGUGUUCAUUAUUAUAUAAAUUCAAUGGUUUUAAUUAUUCUUAUGUAAGCAGUAAAAGAAGUACAUCUCUGACGUUUAUAACAAACCAAGCUGUUGUAAAAUCGGUUGAAAAUUGAGCAAUCUACAGUGAUUUUAAAAUCCAUGCUCCAUUGACUUUAAUGUUAUGAGUGAUCGAGCAGCCCUGUCCCAAGAUGGCCGCCAUGUGGCGACGUUGCUCCCCAUAGGCUGACAGCGCUCAUGAGCCAUCUAGUGUUUGUAUAUAUCUAUGGUCUCCACUGUCAGGACGGGAAGUAACCAUAAGCGUCCGAUAGGUGGCCGUAACGCACCUGAAGUUGGUUUACUAACCGCUAAAUAAAUCAAAAGAAGAAGCCAUUUCACGCGAGUGAUCGUCUGUAUCGUUUGGCGUUUACGAAUGCCCUUUACACCAUAUUGGAUGCUCCCUAUGACUUUACCAUUAUGGACAUGCCACUUUUGCAGCAGUGGUGGUGUAUCGUCCUGAUGGAAAACUUUGACCUUGAAAGCCAUGAAAAGCUGUUCGCUCACUGGACAGAUACAUCAAAAGCCCUCCUGUGAGGUGAGGUGUCACCAGUGUUUAGGCUGAAGAAAAGAAGGGUGGAUGACAUUACUACGGAAGAAAAGCAGCAAGCUGAGGUUUCAGUCAGACCUGCUGAUGUGAGCACACCAGUGGAAGGGGACUCGGUUGAAGUGCGUAUUCUGCAUGAUUGCAGACAUGCAGCAGAGUGGGUUGAGGCCAAUAAGACACUCUUCUCUGCCAGAGUGGACCUGCCUGAUGUUCUACACAUGGGGGAGGAGGAACAGGCUGAGGCUGCUCUGCAGUAAAAAGACAUGGAUGAGCAGGAAAGGGAAGAAAUCCUGGAGGUCUUCAAAUUCACAUUCUACAACAUUGAGGAUGUGGAAAUUUUGUGACAUAGUAGUGGACGAAAACAAUUAUUUGGCAUAUUGUGAAUGUCACAAAGAUGAAUAAUUGAAGGAUAACAGAACAUUUGAUCAUGUUGUGACUUUGUGUGUUCAUGUUUUGUUUUCUCAUUGAGCACUUAAUAAUUCACUUGAACUACACUGUAGAUCUCAAGAGUUUGGGUAGUAGUUGGUGGUAUUUAGGUGCUCCAGCAGCACAAGAACAUACACACGUGGACAAAAUUGUUGGUACCCCUCAGUUAAAGAAGGAAAAACCCACAAUUCUCACUGAAAUCACUUGAAACUCACAA